rnacentral:rRNA from 1 species
AGUGAACGCUGGCGGUAGGCCUAACACAUGCAAGUCGAACGGCAGCACAGUAAGAGCUUGCUCUUACGGGUGGCGAGUGGCGGACGGGUGAGGAAUACAUCGGAAUCUACUUUUUCGUGGGGGAUAACGUAGGGAAACUUACGCUAAUACCGCAUACGACCUACGGGUGAAAGCAGGGAAUCUUCGGACCUUGCGCGAUUGAAUGAGCCGAUGUCGGAUUAGCUAGUUGGCGGGGUAAAGGCCCACCAAGGCGACGAUCCGUAGCUGGUCUGAGAGGAUGAUCAGCCACACUGGAACUGAGACGCGGUCCAGACUCCUACGGGAGGCAGCAGUGGGGAAUAUUGGACAAUGGGCGCAAGCCUGAUCCAGCCAUACCGCGUGGGUGAAGAAGGCCUUCGGGUUGUAAAGCCCUUUUGUUGGGAAAGAAAAGCAGCAGGUUAAUACCCCGCUGUUCUGACGGUACCCAAAGAAUAAGCACCGGCUAACUUCGUG